rnacentral:rRNA from 1 species
GACGUAGGAGGCGAGCGUUGUCCGGAUUCAUUGGGCGUAAAGAGCACGCAGGCGGUUUGGCAAGUCGGAUGUGAAAACCCGGAGCUCAACUCCGGACCUGCAUCCGAAACUGCCCGCCUAGAGGUAGGUAGGGGAGAUCGGAAUUCCUGGUGUAGCGGUGAAAUGCGCAGAUAUCAGGAGGAACACCGGUGGCGAAGGCGGAUCUCUGGGCCUUACCUGACGCUCAGGUGCGAAAGCUAGGGGAGCGAACAGG